GCUUGGUUAGCUCAGCAGGUAGAGCAACUGACUUGUAAUCAGUAGGUCUGGAGUUCGACUCUCCAACCAAGCACCA
rnacentral:tRNA from 1 species